CAGGUGUUGCAUGGCUGUCGUCAGCUCGUGUCGUGAGAUGUUCGGUUAAGUCCGCUAACGAGCGCAACCCUCGUCGUAUGUUAUAUGUGUCAUACGAGACUGCCGGUAAAAGCCGGAGGAAGGUGAGGAUGAUGUCAAGUCAGCAUGACCUUUAUAUCCAGGGCUACACACACGCUACAAUGGUCUGUACAAUGGGUAGCCAAGCCGCGAGGCGGAGCCAAUCCUGAAAGCAGGCCUCAGUUCAGAUUGCAGUCUGCAACUCGACUGCAUGAAGCCGGAGUUGCUAGUAACCGCAGGUCAGCAAUACUGCGGUGAAUACGUUCCCGGGUCUU
rnacentral:rRNA from 1 species